AUAUAGGCUAUGAUAGAGAAGAGUAACUUUGAAUAUUACUUUAGAGAGUCGGUGAUGGUGAAAAUCCGGUAUAAUAUCUUAGUGAAGGGAGCUCUUGAGCUGUACUGUUUAAAGUGGGUGUUGUAUACGCCAAACAGGGUGGAACCGCGGAAGUAAACCUUUCGUCCCUUAC
rnacentral:ncRNA from 1 species